rnacentral:rRNA from 2 species
GGACUACAGGGGUUUCUAAUCCUGUUUGCUCCCCACGCUUUCGUGCCUCAGUGUCAGUAUCAGUCCAGUAAGUCGCCUUCGCCACUGAUGUUCCUUCCGAUAUCUACGCAUUUCACCGCUACACCGGAAAUUCCACUUACCUCUACCAUACUCUAGACUCACAGUAUCGAAUGCAGUUCCUAGGUUAAGCCCAGGGAUUUCACAUCCGACUUAUGCGUCCACCUACGCACCCUUUACGCCCAGUAAUUCCGAUUAACGCUUGCACCCUCUGUAUUACCGCGGCUGCUGGCAC